GUCGAAUGACUUGGAAAAGUCAGUCAAAGAGGGUAAAAACCCCGUAGAUGAAAUUUGGAAGGCACCUAGGAGGAUCCUGAGUACGGCGGAACACGAGGAAUUCCGUCGGAAUCCGGGAGGACCAUCUCCCAAGGCUAAAUACUCCCUAGUGACCGAUAGUGAACCAGUACCGUGAGGGAAAGGUGAAAAGCACCCCGGAAGGGGAGUGAAAUAGAACCUGAAACCGUGUGCCUACAACAAGUCAAAGCCCGUUAAUGGGUGAUGGCGUGCCUUUUGUAGAAUGAACCGGCGAGUUACGAUUGCAUGCGAGGUUAAGUUGAAGAGACGGAGCCGCAGCGAAAGCGAGUCUGAAUAGGGCGUUUGAGUAUGUAGUCGUAGACCCGAAACCAUGUGAUCUACCCAUGUCCAGGUUGAAGGUGCGGUAAAACGCACUGGAGGACCGAACCCACGUACGUUGAAAAGUGCGGGGAUGAGGUGUGGGUAGCGGAGAAAUUCCAAACGAACUUGGAGAUAGCUGGUUCUCUCCGAAAUAGCUUUAGGGCUAGCCUCGGAAUUGAGAAUGAUGGAGGUAGAGCACUGUUUGGACUAGGGGCCCAUCUCGGGUUACCGAAUUCAGAUAAACUCCGAAUGCCAUUCAUUCAUAUCCGGGAGUCAGACUGUGAGUGAUAAGAUCCAUAGUCGAAAGGGAAACAGCCCAGACCACCAGCUAAGGUCCCAAAAUAUAUGUUAAGUGGAAAAGGAUGUGGGGUUGCACAGACAACUAGGAUGUUGGCUUAGAAGCAGCCACCAUUUAAAGAGUGCGUAAUAGCUCACUAGUCGAGUGACCCUGCGCCGAAAAUGUACCGGGGCUAAACAUAUUACCGAAGCUGUGGAGUACACCUUUAGGUGUAUUGGUAGGAGAGCGUUCUAAGGGCGUUGAAGGCAGAUCGUGAGGACUGCUGGAGCGCUUAGAAGUGAGAAUGCCGGUAUGAGUAGCGAAAGACAGGUGAGAAUCCUGUCCACCGAAUGACUAAGGUUU
rnacentral:rRNA from 1 species